rnacentral:rRNA from 1 species
AUUGAACGCUGGCGGCAGGCCUAACACAUGCAAGUCGAGCGGAGCGGCGGACGGGUGAGUAAUGCCUAGGAAUCUGCCUGGUAGUGGGGGACAACGUCGGGAAACGGGCGCUAAUACCGCAUAAUAUAAGAGGAGCUUAGGUCGGAUUAGCUAGUUGGUGGGGUAAAGGCCUACCAAGUCGACGAUCCGUAACUGGUCUGGGAGGAUGAUCAGUCACACUGGAACUGAGACACGGUCCAGACUCCUACGGGAGGCAGCAGUGGGGAAUAUUGGACAAUGGGCGAAAGCCUGAUCCAGCCAUGCCGCGUGUGUUAAGAAGGUCUUCGGAUUGUAAAGCACUUUAAGUUGGGAGGCGUUACCAACAGAGUAAGCACCGGCUAACUUCGUGCCAGCAGCCGCGGUAAUUC